rnacentral:lncRNA from 1 species
CAGGUGCCAAUAUAUUCAACUCAAAUUCAAUGUACAUCAUGAUUACAGAAACUGCUUGGAAGAAAGAGAAAAGGAGACUGCAGAAUCUGAGAAAGAAGAGCUGAAUAGAAGUUGGAGAAGAUAGCAAGGGAGCAGAAUCCCUACUGAUGAACCACAUGACUAAACAGGACAAGGCGGCCUAAAGAAGAAGAUGACAUGAACUGCCCUUCUCCUACGCAAAGAGCAUAGAUACACCAUGGAAACAACACAAAGAGCAGCUGGACCAAAAGCUUCAGAGAGAAAAUUGGGCUCCAAUAGCUUGCAUCAAGUUCUGAAGAAGAUAGAGAACGCAGAACAUAGAGAUAGUCCAGCCAAGCUCCAAAAUCGUUGGCUUAGCUUGCAGAUUUACCAACAGGUCUCCUUGCACCUGAAGAAGCCCAUUCCUGCAACUGAAAUACUACAAGAAUAAAUGAAGCCGAGUAUCUUGAACAGAGAAGAAAUGGACAACCAAGAAGCAAAGAGCUAGUAACAGUGCACUGUGUGAAUCUUAAUACUCCCUCCAUUUUUAUAUAUAAGGCCACUAUCAAAAUUAUAAUUUGCAUAUAUACAAGGCCACUACACUAAUCGAUGCAAUAUUAAUGGUGUUUGCCUCGUAGUACUAGUAAAGGGGGACAUUAAUUAUUCCUUGCAUGCAUGCAAGAGCGAGAUUGUUAGCUUGAUGUGCACGAGAGAGAAAAAUACACAUUAAUUUACACGGCAAACAAGAAGACAAGAUGUCUUACAACAAAUUGACUUAAAAUGCAUUAACUUUUGCCUUGGUACCUGUAAUAUGGGUUUGUGUCCUUGUAUACAAAAAUGGAGGGAGUACCAGGUAUUUGAAAAUUAGAAAGAAGGGAUACAAUAUUGCAAGAAUUAGAAGAGUGAUUACGAGCAAAGCAACAAAUCCAAGUAUCCCUAUUAGCUUUGUAAACCUGGUAAGCAAGGUUAUGGGCAACUCCAUUAACUUCUCUAGAAAUAUGAAACACUUUAGGAUUAAGAGCUGCAGAAUGUUUGAAGAAAUCGGAAAGAUCCUUUCUGAUAUUCCAAGGAAUGGAGGGAUCCAAGGUGUUGGCCCAAGCAGCACAUUUAGCAAGAGUAAGAGAGUCAGUUAGAAAAGUAGAAUGCAAAAUAUUGAGCUGAGAGGCUAUAUUAGCAGCAAAAGCAAGAGCACUAGAUUCAGCCUGCAAAGGAGUGGAUGCAGAGGAAGCGGAGGCCUGGAUUUGAAUAUUAAUUUCUCCCUGCUCCGAGGGAAGAGAAAUAUAGAUACCAACACGUGUAGCCACAUCUCCUCGAGGAAGGCCAGGAACUUUUUUUCUUCUGAAAGCUGCAUCAGAGUAAUUUUUUGGCCCAACAACUAAAAGAUCAGACCUGAGAGAAUUACCUGGCAAAAGGAGCUAACUGCUAGUAGGAAUGUGUUGAACCUGUUGAUUCUUGGUAGAAAGACCAGAAAGAACAUCUUGAGGCUCCAAAUUCAAAGCACCAGCCAUAAUGCUAGCUUGAUAAGGAAGAGCUUUGUUUCUAUCAAAAAGAAAAUCAUUUCUUGCUUUCCUAAGACACCACAGAAAAUUUAGGAUAUGCGGGAUGGAACCGUGUGGGUGAUUCAUUUGAAUGAAAGCAAUAAGCACCGAAUGCAUUGUAGAAUGGCCUUGGGUUAAAACAUCAGCUUUGAGAAACCAGGGAGAAGAAAACCAGGCCGCAUGAGAAAAAUUACAAAGGACAAAUAGAUGAAACUCAUCCUCCAGUUGACCACAUCGACAACACAUUUGAGAAAUAUGAAUCGAGAAACGACCAGCUCGCAUACCCGUAGGCAAAGCUUUUCUUAAAAGUCUCCAUGCAAAAGUUUGCACCCUAGGAAGCAUAUUCUUCUGUUUCCAAAAUAAUUUAAGAAGAUUUUUCAAAUCCAAAGAAACAACACUAGGGGCAUGUCUAGGAUUAGCAUGGAUAUCUUGUAAACACAAUUUACAAGCAGAUUUGGAGGAACAAAUACCAUUUGGAGUAAGAUCCCAACACAACAAAUCUGGAAUUUCAUCAUCAACAAUAUGAGUAUGAAUAAUAAUGGAAGCCAAAGGUUGCUGAAAAAGCGAGAAGAUGAGAGCUUGAUUCCAAAUCCUUUGUCCUGGAACCAAGGCAGGGUACACAAAACCAGCGUGUUGAGGAAUGAGAUGCUCAUAAAUGGAACUCCAAUUACUACACCAAGGAGUGCUCCAAAUAGAAAUAUUACCUUGCGUUAUUUGAUAGAAAGAAUGAGUCUUAAGCUUAGGCAACAUUUUAAGAAUGGAAGCCCGGAAAGCAGAUUUAGGAGGAGUAGUAGUGGCAGUCCAAAUGGAAGCAUUGGGAAAAUAUUUAGCUUUAAGCACGAGAUACAAAUGAGAAGAAGGGGAUUUAGCUAACCUCCAAGCAGCACAUAAAAUCAGACUUUCAUUGAUGGCCUUCAAGUUCCUAACACCUAGACCUCCUUCGUCUUUGGAGUUGUAAAUGUCUUUCCAUGCUCUAAGACAAAGACUCUUUGUAGAGUCAUUUUCUCGAACACUUGUACACCAAAAAUUCCUAAUAAUAGCCGUAUGCUUAGCAAUGAAUUUCUUAGUGAACAAGAUAUUAGCCAUAUAGUAGUCGGGAAUGGCCGAGAAAACCGAACGAAUUAUAAGAAGGCAAUUUUUGCAAGAAUUUGUCUAGAACAAAGUUAUAAGCAAGAACUUUGUUUUUAGCCGGAAGAAUCGAUGGGUGACCAAGAUGAGUAAAAUUUGCAUCCAAAGAAGAAACUGGGAAAAUCUACUUGAUGUCGUGCAUAGCAUUAGGAGAAAUAUGAGAGCUGAAAAGAAUAGCAGAUUUAGAGCCUGUUUGGGACUGCUCUGCUCCAAAAAAAACAAGCCAAACGGGGUAGCUCCACGAUAUGCUGCUCCACAAAAAAACUAGAAUUUGGGGUACAACUUCAAAGUUUUUAUGAAGCUCCUCAGCGUGUGCUUCAAAAAAGACUAGAAGCUGGAGUUGGGGGAAAAUUACCCACCACUGCCACCAGUAAGUGGAUACCCCUUCAUUUCUUUCACCUCAACCAAUCAAAUAGAUUCUUUUCACCAAAUUUUCUAUUCUUGAAGCUGGAGCUAGAUGGAAGCCAAACAUUCUUUUGAUAGUGCUAUAGCUUUUGUAUGAAACUGCUCCAAAGUGAAUUUGAUGAAGUGAAGCUGAUUUUGGUGAAUUGAAGCAGUCCCAAACAGACCCUUAGACCAGUUUGGAGUUUGACCAGAAAAAGCACAAAAUUGGUUUAAGAUUAGCCAUGGUGUGAGCUUCUUUCAAAGUGGCAUGUCCACAAACCAAUAAGUCAUCCGCAAAUAAAAGAGAGUGAAUGGAGGGACAAUUUGGUCUAAGAGAGAUACCCUGUAAAUGAUGAGUAGCAAGAGCUUCAUUAAGGGCAAUGUAGAGUUCAUUGAUAGCAAUAACAAAUAAAUAAGGAGACAUAGGACAACCUUGACGAAUACCCUUGGAACUUUUAAAUUUUUGAGAAGGCUGUCCAUUAAUGACAACAGAAAAUGUAGGCGAGGAGAUGCAUGCAUGAACUAAACUUAUAAAAUGACCAUGCAACCCUUUCCGAGAAAGAGGAGAAACAAUAAAACUCCAUUCAAGACGAUCAAAAGUUUUAGCAAGAUCUAUUUUAAGCAUGAAAGCGUUAUGCUUCCAUGAUUUCAAGGAGAAAGAGUGAGCAAUCUCUUGGGCAAUGAUGAUAUUAUCACUAAUUCUUCUACCCUCAAUGAAAGCUUGCUGAGAAGGAUCUAUAUAAUCAGGCAGGAGAGGUUUAAUCCUGUUAGCAAGCGAUUUUGCAAUAAUUUUAUAAACAACAUUACAAAGGCACAGAGAUGGCGACGCGAACACUACGUUCUACCAUCGCCAGUGUGCAUACCGCAAACAGAAGAACUGGAUACAUGGCAUCUCUGUCGACGGCGCCGUUAUCACUGAUCCUAACGACAUGGCCGCGGCCACUUUCGAGCACUUUGACAGCCGGAUUGGGACGGACAUGCAGCGUGACUGCACCAUUGGACUGUCGCAAUUCAUCGAGCCCUCAAACCUGGAAGACCUUGACGCGCCAUUCAGCGAGGACGAGAUUUGGCAAGCCAUCAAAAACAUGCCGUCCCGCAAGGCGCCCGGCCCCGACGGCUUCACCGCGGAGUUCCUCCGAUCCUGCCGGCAGAUCAUCAAGCAUGACCUCCGAUGCGUCUUCAACCAGAUUUACGCGCUGCGUGGACGAGGGUUUAGCUGCCUUAACCAGGCGCUAAUCACGCUCCUCCCCAAGCGCGUCGAGGCCACUGGCCUGGGUGAUUAUAGGCCCAUAAGCCUAAUUCACAUCGUCGCCAAGGUCCUGGCCAAGCUGCUUUCGCUCCGCCUAGCUCCCAGGCUCAACAACCUUGUCAGCAACGUCCAAAACGCGUUCAUGGUUGUCAGCAACGUCCAAAACGCGUUCAUCCCCAGGCGAAGUCUUCACGACAACUUCAUCCUAGUGCGUCAAUCCGCACGGCUAUUGCAUCAGCUGGGUGCCCCUCGCGUGCUUCUGAAACUUGACUUGGCACGGGCUUUCGACUCCGUCUCGUGGCCUUUCCUGUUCGAGGUGCUGCGAUGCCAUGGCUUCGGCAACCGCUUCCUUGGUUGGAUCGCCCUUCUCCUGUCGUCGGCCAACACCAAGGUUCUCCUCAACGGCAACCCUGGACCAGCGAUUUGGCACCGCCAUGGACUGCGCCAAGGUGAUCCAGUCUCCCCGCAGCUCUUCGUCCUUGCUGUCGAUACGUUGGGCAGGCUCUUUCAUCGCGCGGUCAAGCUCCGAGUCAUGCAGCAGCUGCAUCCGCGCCGCGCCAUCCCCACCAUAUCCCUCUACGCCGACGACGUAAUUCUUCUGUGCCACCCCUCGCCGGACGAUAUCGCGGCGGUGAAGGAGAUUCUGCAGCUCUUUGGACGCGCCUCUGGCCUGCACGUGAACUUCCAGAAGAGCGCUGCGGCCCUCAUCCGCUGCGACACCGUGGACGCUGCUCAUGUUGUUGCGCACCUGGGCUGCCCCAUCGUCGAAUUCCCGCUUACUUACUUGGGCAUCCCGCUCACGCUGCGUCGCCCCACGGCUGCCCAACUGCAACCCGUCGUCGAUAAGGUCGCUGGGAAGCUGCCCUCUCGGAAGGCCUGGCUCAUGAACAAAGCCGGCCGCCUUGCUUUCGCCAAGGCUGUCUUGAGCGCGAUCCCCAUUCAUCAGCUCCUUGUGCUUGCGCCGCCAAAGAAGACCAUCAAACUCUUGGAGAAGAUUGAGAGAGGAUUCCUUUGGGCUGGCCGCACCGAGGCCCACGGAGGCAAUUGUCAUGUCAACUGGCGGCGCGUCUGCCGGCCUAUCCAGUUUGGGGGCCUCGGCGUUCACGACCUCGAGCGCACUGGCCUCGCCCUUCGCAUGCGGUGGCAGUGGCUCAGCCUAGUCGAUGAUGGCAGGGCCUGGAGCGGCCUUGACCUGCACUUCGCGCCCGAGGAGCGCGCGCUCUUCUUCGCCUCUACUAUCAUGGCUAUCGGCAAUGGCCAGCGCGCCCUGUUCUGGGAGGACCGAUGGAUCAACGGACGUGCGAUCCGAGAGAUCGCGCCUCUCCUUUUUGAUCUCAUCCCCAAACGGCGUCGCAAGUCAAGAACUGUUGCGGACGGCCUUCACGCGAACCAAUGGGCCGCAGACAUUCACGACAUGAUUGGCAUCCCGGAGAUUGGAGAAUACCUGCGCCUCUGGCACAUGCUCGCCGAAACAGCCCUCACUGACGCACCAGACCACAUUCGCUGGAAGUGGACCGCGAACGGCGAGUACUCCGCCAAGUCCGCAUACCUUGCCACUUUUCAGGGCUCCGCGAGAUGCCAAGCUUGGAAACUUACCUGGAAGUGUUCGGCACCGCCUCGGGUGCGCUUCUUCCACUGGCUUGCCAACCUCGAUCGGUGCUGGACGGCCGACCGCCUCGCGAGGCGCAACCUGCCGCACCCACAGCGCUGCCCUCUUUGCGAUCAGGCUCCGGAGACGAUUCAUCAUCUUCUCCUGGAAUGCCCUUUCAGCUGCGAAGUGUGGCACGAGAUCCUCUCAUGGCUGCGCCUCUCUUGCCCGCUGCCCAACAACGAUGCCACUCUCCACGACUGGUGGUGCUCUGCAUGACACGACACCCCUAAGCCUAUGCACAAGGGAUUGGCUUCCGCUGCAUUGCUCGUCCCUUGGAUGAUUUGGAAGCAUCGCAACGGAUGCGUGUUUGAGGGUGCAACACCGUCGGUUACCUCCCUGGCGGCUACGAUUGAGGAAGAGGCCGCCCUCUGGGCCAGAGCGGGCGCCUUGGGGCUCCGGGCCAUCUUGCCACAAACAUGGGAUGUCCACUAGUGUGCAUGUACUCACCUUGUAAAUAUGCCUCCUAGGAGGAUUGUACUAUAACCCUUCUUUUCAAUACAAUGAACCACAAAAGUCUUUUGCGUUUUCUCGAAAAAAAACAUUACAAAGGCUGGUAGGGCGGUAAUCCAUAGGGACUUGAGAAACCAACUUCUUAGGAAUAAGAGCAAUGUUAGUAUCAUUAACGUGAGGAGGCAGAACACCAAUAAGAUAAAAUUUGAUAACAAGUUGGGUAACCUCAUCUCCUAUCCAAUCCCAAGCAGCCAGGUAAAAUUCAACAUUGAAUCUAUCCGGCCCUGGAGAAGCAUUUAACUUCAUAUCUUUAAGAAUUUGCAAAACCUCAUGUUUAUCUGGAAGAGCGUAGGUUGGGUCCGAAGGAUCAUUCGGCCACUGGGUGGACGCAUAAGGUCUAUCGAUAAAACGAAAAUAAUUGACAAACCUGUUGGUGAUAGCAAACGGUUUGAAAUGAAGCAUUUUAGUCUCAUCUUUGAUAGAGCAAAUAGUAUUACGCUUUCUACGCGUAACAACAGCUUGGUGAAAAAACUUAGUAUUGCGAUCACCAGCCCGAGCCCAAUUCUUCUUACUACGUUGUUUAUAAAACUGAUUCAGCUUAGAGAGUCUGUUCAUACCUGACAGUGAGAGCAGCCUCCAAUGCAUGGUCCUGCUGUUGUGAUGGGAGUUGUUGUAGCUGAUUAAUCUUCCCUUUUAGCUCCAAAAGUUCCGAUUGUAGACUUUUUUUUCGUGCACCACACUUUGAGAGAACCUGCCAAAGAAGAAGUCUUGGCUGCAAAAGAGGUUAGAGAACAAUUGUUCCAAGCCGAUUUAGCAAAAUUGGCAAAGUCCUUUUCCAUCAACCACCAAUUUUCAAUUUUGAAAGCUUGCUUAGGCUUAACAAAAUUUCCCUCUGUAGACACUAAAAUGGAAGUAUGAUCACUGAGAAUAAUAGGCAAAUUGAGGAUUUUAGUAUUAGGGUAACACAUGCACUACUAGGCAUUAACCAAAGAACGAUCAAGACGACGGUAAAUAGGUUUAUAAGUGUGUUGGUUACCUCGCCAAGUGUACGCCGGACCACUAAAACCUAUGUCAAAAAAACACAAUUUUUAACAAUGGACCGAAAAGCUUUCAUAUACGAAAGUAAUUCACAUUACCAUUACAACCAUCCGUAUCAUACAAGAUGUCAUUAAGAUCACCCAUACACAUCAUGGGCAUACCUAGAUUAUCAUACACAAAAGAGGAGAUCUGACUCCAAAUGGACUAGUUUGCCUAUGGUACGGGUCACCGUAAAUACAAAUCAAACAAAAUUGGACCCCAGAAGCAGGAUGAACUACAUUAGCUAAUAUAUAGCGGAAGGUAGCACUAUGAACAGUAAUAUUUAGAUCAUCAGUCCACAUAAGCCAGAGACCUCCCGAAGCACCUCUAGAGGGAACUACAAAGGCAUUAAUAACAUCAAACCUAUUAACAAGAUCAACAAAACGAACUUCGGAAGAAUUGAUUUCUGAGACAAAAGUUACAUGCACUUUAGUAGAACGGAUCAAGUUGGCCAAGAAGAGCAUACAAUCAUUGCCGAGGCUCCGGCCCAUACCUCAGCAAUUCCAAGCAAUGGCCCUCAUGGCGCCAGAGGAGCGUUCGGGCCAUGCGCUGUUGCCCGAUUGACGUCCGUAGUUUCUCCUAGUAGAACUUGCGUGAGAUGCAGAGUAUUAAGAGCACUAGUAGCUUUAUACUCACCUUGAACCUGAACGUCAUCUGAUAGUGAGAUGCCACCGGUGCGAGGAGCUUCUACACCAAGAGAAGUCAAGAAGAAAACAGAUGGCAGCAUUGUGCCACAAAAGAGGAAGGGUGCAACUACUCGAACAAGGAGAAAAGCAGGGUAAGGGGACAACAAUCGGAGAGAUGAUAUGGAGGAGGGGGGAGGAGAAACCGGCUCCGGCCAGGAGGGCCAGCGACAGCCUGAAUCAGGCUGGAACUAGCAGGUGUGGACGGGAUCUAGGAGGGAUGAGACCGAGAGAGAAUAGGCAGCAGAGAGAGAGAGAGGAUAGAGAGGAUUAGGCGAGAAAGAAAGGGACACCUAGGCAGGAGGAGGCAGCGAAGAACCCGACCGGCAGAAUCGAUGGAGCCCAAGACUCACCAGCAAAAUAAAAUGAGAGAAGGGGAUCUGGAAGGGGAAGACAGGAAGAGGAAGAGAGGAGCAGCAGAAGAGAACGAGCGAGGAGGGAUUAGAGCAUCUCCAACACCCGCGCUAACAGCAUCUCCAACACCCGCGCUAUACAAGCGCCGCGCCGUAAAAAAGGCAGUUUUAGCGCGCGCGCGACGCGGCGGGCAGCUCCAGCGAACGCGCAAAAACGGCGCGCGCGCCAUUUUCAAUUCAGCGCGCUGGCCGAAACGCAAUCCCGCGCCCGUUAUUUGCUGCGCCGGCUCGCGCG